rnacentral:rRNA from 1 species
GACAGAGGUGCCGAGCGUUAGGCGGAAUCACUGGGCUUAAAGCGUGUGUAGGCGGACUUCUAAGUACCUUGUGAAAUCCCACGGCUCAACCGUGGAACUGCUCGGUAUACUGGUUGUCUUGAGCCACUUAGGGGCAGUCGGAACAGACGGUGGAGCGGUGAAAUGCGCAGAUAUCUGGAGGAACACCGGUGGCGAAGGCGGCAUCCUGGACCGAGAUUGACGCUGAGGCGCGAAAGCCAGGGGAGCAAACGAG